AACGCUGGCGGCGUGCCUAAUACAUGCAAGUCGAACGGUCUUUCUAUGGAAGCUUGCUUCCACUGAGAAGAUAGUGGCGAACGGGUGAGUAACACGUGGGUAACCUGCCCAUAAGAGGGGGAUAACAUCCGGAAACGGGUGCUAAUACCGCAUAGUUUUCUUGAUUGCAUGAUUGAGAAAGGAAAGACGGCCUUUGUGCUGUCGCUUAUGGAUGGACCCGCGGCGUAUUAGUUAGUUGGUGAGGUAACGGCUCACCAAGACGAUGAUACGUAGCCGACCUGAGAGGGUGAUCGGCCACAUUGGGACUGAGACACGGCCCAAACUCCUACGGGAGGCAGCAGUAGGGAAUCUUCCGCAAUGGACGAAGUCUGACGGAGCAACGCCGCGUGAGUGAAGAAGGUUUUUCCGGAUCGUAAAACUCUGUUGUCAGAGAAGAACAAGUUGGAGAGUAACUGCUCCAGCCUUGACGGUAUCUGACCAGAAAGCCACGGCUAACUACGUGCCAGCAGCUGC
rnacentral:rRNA from 1 species